CAAAAAUUUAUUUCUAGAUAGAGUAAACUGUAAUUUUAUUCCCUGAGAUUUAGUCCAAUUGGUACUCUGACCCCCUAAUGAAAUAAUUACAAUUUUACCCUCCAAUGUUUGGUGUUAUGUCGCAAGUUUACCCUCUGCCGUCAAAUAAGUUAACAGAUCUGUUAAAUGGACUGUGAAAUGACUAUGUUACCCUUUCAUAUUACCCCUAUGGUUUGUUCUACUCUGCAAUAUUACCCCCUCUCUCAUAAGCCCUCCACCACCACUAUUAACCACCACUGCCACCACCUGUCACCACCACCAUCUCCCCUACCAACCAUCAUCACAUAUUCAAACAUUAUCAAAAAGUGUUGAAAUACCCACUUCAAACAACCAUUACAGAAAAGAACCAAAAAGAUAAGUGGGGUAGCAUACCCAUUUCAAGAAUCUUUAAAAACAUAAUAAAGAUUCAAGAUUCUAUCUUUCCCACUUCAAAUUUUGCAGAAAGAAAGAAACAUUACCGUGACUUAUACCCAAUUCAGAAGAAAAGAAGAAAGAAACAUUAUUGUGCCUGAAUACCCAAUUCGAAAGUUAGGGUUUCGUUUACUCUAAUCGAUUAAAUCAAACCACCUUCAAUCCCAUAUCAUCAUCACUCCAAUCGAUUAUAUCAAAGAUGUGUGUAGAUCUGGAAUGUGAAGGUGCAGAUCGGAGGGGUGUGUGUGUGUGUGUGUUUUUGAUGGCUGAAGGUGCAGGUGGGUUAUCACCCCAAAAUGGGUGAUGGAGCUCGGUGGUGGUGGCUGGUAUAGGGUGUGGUGGUAGUGGCGGUGGUUGUGGCUGGUGUAGCGUGUGGCGGCAAUGGUGGUUUUCGAUAAUGGUGGCUAGGGUGAAACGGUGGAGAUGGAGAUGGUUGUGGUGGUGAAUGGCGGUGGUAGUGGUGGUGCACUUCACUGGAUUUACAUGAACAUCUAGUACUUCUUUGCCCAGAUCUUGAUCGCAAGUCUCACCAGAACAUAAUCCCUGCAAACAUCACGAAUCUGAAGAUCAAACAUCAAUAUGAAGAUCAAACAUCAAUCGGAAGCGGACCGGCAGUGGUUGGGUUCGACGACGGCGGGUGGUUGGGGUAGACGACAGCGGCGGUUGGGAACCAUGAGAUUUUACUGUCGGGUGGUUGUGUUCGACGACGGCGGUGGCGGACCGGCAGUGGUGGUGCCAGCAGCGGAGAAGAAGAUGAUACAGAGAUGUAAGGAUUAUUGAAUGGUGUUAUUUUUUACUGAAUGGUGUUAUCUUUUAUGAAUUGUGUUAUUUUUUACUGAAUGGUGUUAUUUUUUACUGAAUGGUGUUAUUUUUUACUGAAUGGUGUUAUUCUUUUCUGAAUGGUGUUAUUUUGUUUCUCAAUGGUGUAUUUUUCUUA